AGAGUUUGAUCCUGGCUCAGAUUGAACGCUGGCGGUAUGCUUAACACAUGCAAGUCGAACGGAAACGAUACUAGCUUGCUAGUAGGCGUCGAGUGGCGGACGGGUGAGUAACGCGUAGGAAUCUACCAGAUAGUGGGGGAUAGCCCGGAGAAAUUCGGAUUAAUACCGCAUAAUCUCUACGGAGUAAAGGAGGCCUCUAUUUAUAUGCUUUCGCUAUCUGAUGAGCCUGCGUAAGAUUAGCUAGUUGGUGAGGUAAAAGCUCACCAAGGCAACGAUCUUUAGCUGGUCUGAGAGGAUGAUCAGCCACACUGGGACUGAGACACGGCCCAGACUCCUACGGGAGGCAGCAGUGGGGAAUAUUGGACAAUGGGGGCAACCCUGAUCCAGCAAUACCGCGUGUGUGAAGAAGGCCUGAGGGUUGUAAAGCACUUUCAAUUGUGAA
rnacentral:rRNA from 1 species